GGAGAGAUGGCCGAGUGGCUGAAGGCGCGCGCCUCGAAAGCGUGUAUACCUUUACGGGUAUCGGUGGUUCGAAUCCCUCUCUCUCCGCCA
rnacentral:tRNA from 1 species